rnacentral:rRNA from 1 species
CCUACGGGUGGCUGCAGUGGGGAAUAUUGGACAAUGGGGGCAACCCUGAUCCAGCCAUGCCGCGUGUGUGAAGAAGGCCCUCGGGUUGUAAAGCACUUUCAGUGAGGAAGAACGCCUGGUGGUUAAUACCCAUCAGGAAAGACAUCACUCACAGAAGAAGCACCGGCUAACUCCGUGCCAGCAGCCGCGGUAAUACGGAGGGUGCGAGCGUUAAUCGGAAUUACUGGGCGUAAAGCGCGCGUAGGUGGCUUGAUAAGCCGGUUGUGAAAGCCCCGGGCUCAACCUGGGAACGGCAUCCGGAACUGUCAAGCUAGAGUGCAGGAGAGGAAGGUAGAAUUCCCGGUGUAGCGGUGAAAUGCGUAGAGAUCGGGAGGAAUACCAGUGGCGAAGGCGACCUUCUGGACUGACACUGACACUGAGGUGCGAAAGCGUGGGUAGCAAACAGGAUUAGAUACCCUGGUAGUC